rnacentral:rRNA from 1 species
GGGUCCGUAGGCGGUUGGUAAGUCAGUGGUGAAAGACCCACUCGCUUAACGAUGGAACGGCCAUUGAUACUGCCAGACUUGAAUUACUAGGAAGUAACGUAGAAUAUGUAGUGUAGCGGUGAAAUGCUUAGAUAUUACAUGGAAUACCAAUUGCGAAGGCAGGUUACUACUAGUGGAUUGACGCUGAUGGACGAAAGCGUGGGGAGCGAACAGGAUUAGAUACCCCUGGU